UGUGUGUGCGUGUGUGUGUGUGCGCGCGCAUGUCGCAUCGGAUCUACGGCGCUUGCGCGCGUCGCCGUGCCGCUUCGCCUCCUGCGUGCACAUGGGUCCGUUUAAAAAUCGCGACUUAUGCGGAAAAAAAAAAGAUGUAAAGCAGAAGUUUAAUAACCGGUUGCCGGACGAGAGGGAACGUAUUUCAGACGACGGAUGGCAUUAAUCAUCGAUUUCGUCUGUUGCGUUUGUCUUAUAUCGAAAGUGGAUAAAUUCGAUUUCAAAAUCUUUUAAACUCUUAACGGAGAUAAACUUGGUCAAAUUCCCGUGGAGAAGUUGCAAUCGAACGGUUUUGGAUUGAUUUCGGAUGUCUAAUUUCAGAGAAGUAAUAAUUCUCGUGAUUCCUUUUAAGGAAUUUUAUUUUUUACGAGGCUAAAAUCAUUUCGAAACGUUGACUUCCGCUGUAUCGUUUUAUUAUCUUACGAAAUUUUUUACUUUCAAAGAUGCAAUUGCAGGAUUGCCUUUGAUCCAUUAUAUACAGAUGUUUGACAAAGCACACGUGACAAUUGAUUGUGAAACGAUCGAUGAGAUGCCGCCUUGGGAGAGUCGCGGGAGAAGGCGAAGAAUACGCGCGCAUUGCCGAUCGAAGAUGUUGCACAUGUCCUUGCCAAAUGACAUCAUCGUACUAAAUAAGGAUGUGCGAUGAACGCACCGCAGGCACUACCUACGAUCCCAUAAUGAUAAUGCAUCGUUUUGCAAUCAUUACGCGAAGGCACGACUUAAAGGAAUGCCACACCUAUAAUCUAUACUCAAUCGAGGAGAACUGCGCGAUUGCUUGAUAGAUCGUGCUUUAAUGCGGAUGUUGCUAAACAAAAUAUACAUAAAAAAAGACGAAAAUAUAUGAAAGAAAAAAGAUUUAAGAACUCGAAUGUCUAGUCUUUUCGGUGACUUUGUAAAGUGUCUUUGUUGUAGGUGACGGAAUAAAUAUGAUGUAUACGAUGCAUGAAUUCUCUUUCAAAAUAUGCAAUAUAUUUUUAAUGAAAAUGAAAAAAGAUACGCUCUUCCGUCACGUUGCAUGCUCGCGAUGAGCUAAAUGUGUUCUGAUCACUAUUUUUUACGUAUUUGUGUUCAACAUUAUUUUUGCGAGUUAUCCGAUACUCCAAAAUGCAUACGUCGAGAUACGCUGGAUAUCACAUUAAUCGUGAUUAUGUUACGGAUGGUGAGGAAAGCCACAGAGCUCCUUCGGAUCGCACCGUGUCCGAGUAUAUCGUUGCUAACGAGCAUACCACUAUGGUGAAACCCACGAGAAAGAACCAUGCGGAUAAGUAUGACAGAGAUGAAGACAGAAGAUCCAGAAGCGCACAUAAUACUCGUGACUCGGUAUUAUCCGGAUCUUCGAAACAUAGCUUACAUCCGCUUCGCAAAAGUGCUUCACAUGGCAGCAUUUGUGACAACGGUUCAGAUAUAUACGUCACUAGUGCUGCAUAUAGGGCUACAUCCGACAUAAGUCGGGUAUCGCGCCAUAGUCUCGCACCAAGCUCCAGACUGGAUCACAGAACGCCUAGUCAUUAUAGCUACGGUUCCGGUAGGUCGGGCACUUCGACGGUGAAGACUCGCACAUCACGAAAAGGCGGUAUAAUCGUGGAAACUAUGUCAACACCUAAUCCGUUCUGUCCAAACACUAAGGGCGUCUGUUGUCUCAUGUUACUUCUCAAUCUUGGCUUGAUUUUAGUUACUCUAGGCUUUGUUAUCGUUAUACAAUUCUUCCAGCCAUUAGUUGUUUGGAUUUUGGGGAUAGUAUUUCUUGUAUUUGGAUUUUUGACACUGAUCGGUAGUCUCAUAUAUUGCGUACAUGUGUUCAAAAAUGCCAAACAUCCACACGAUAUCAAUCCAGAAGACUUAUACUGGACUCAUUACUGGCAAGGUCGUGUUGGAUCUACAGCACCUGAAGUUUAUUAUAAAGCUGAAGAUAAAUAUCAGGAUGAUGGCUAUAGCGACCGAUAUAGCAAAUACUCAGGAAAAUAUUAUGACAGACAAAAUCAGAGAUAUUGACUAAAAAACAAAAAAUGAUAUAAAGAAUUAAUUAAAAAAACCAGUCAUUUUACUGACUCUUACAUAAAGGACUUGAAAACCAAUGACAAAUAGUAUAAAUUAUAAAUGUGCUUAAGAAAAUAUAAAUUGUAAAUGUAUCAACAUAAUCUGUAAAAAGAGCAAUCGUCUUUCUCCAAGAAUAUAACAUAUAAAAUUU
rnacentral:misc_RNA from 1 species